UUAGGGUUUUAUGGGGCAGCUUCAAACCAUAGAAAUUUUUGUAUAGCUAUUUCUACCAAACAUGUUUGUUUUAGGAAUCAGUUCCGAAUCUGAAAUAUACUACACAAACAUUGCUAUCAGCUUUACUUAAAGUUAUUUUAAGUUUCCAUCACUUAUAUAUGAAAUUGUAAGCAUGUUGCAACCCCGGGCUUCUCUGAAUAACCAAUGAUGUGAAAGCCCCAUUGCACAUGCAAAAUCGAUACCAUUCGUGUUGCAGUUCAUUUCACUAAAUUCCACGAUAGAUCUGUGUCAAAGUAAUGGCAUUGUUCGCCUUGGACCUGGAAGAGCCGGUGUCGAAGCUCAUAGGCUUGGAGAGGUUUGAAGUCUUUAUACUGCCAUCAGAGGAGAUGAAGCGGAAGUAUUAGUUAAUUUUCAGUUAAUGAGUUUCACUAUACGCUGUACUUUCUUAAGUUUGUUUAGAGUCUGAAAUGCUUAAUCUGUUGUUUAAUGCCACGAGUUAGGUGUUAAAUAAUAGCACAAUUUCUUUUAAGAGUAUUGUUUCAAGUUGUUACAAAUCCUGUUUUAAUCAUCUUUAAGUAU